CUGUUGAGUUAAUAGCUAUCUGCUGUUACUGUGCCCAACAUCUGAACAAUGAAGUGCCUGAACUGGGUGUUCCUUUGCUGCCUGAUACAGAUUAUUAUGGUACAAGCAAGAAAGCCUCCAAGGUGACUCUGGUGGACCACUGGUCUGUAAUGGUACAGCAGAAGGAAUUGUGUCUUUCGGCUUAAAGUGCCCACCUGGAAUUUAUACACAUAUUUCAUCAUUCUACUCGUGGAUUAGUGACAUCAUGGGAGAAGCCAGCCAAUGAAUCCUGUUUCUUCAGAUGAAUGGCAGCCAAGUGUAUGACUAUGCAGUAACUUGUGUUUUCAUGCUAUAUUAUUUUGUUUUCUGCUUUUGAUAGUACCAACAGUAGUAAUAUCAGCUAUAGUACUAGCUGCAGCAUUAUUAAUCGUAUUAUUUCCUUGAGAGAAAAUAAUAAAACUGAAUUUCUUUCACCGU